AUUGAACGCUGGCGGCAUGCUUUACACAUGCAAGUCGAACGGCAGCGCGGGCUUCGGCCUGGCGGCGAGUGGCGAACGGGUGAGUAAUGCAUCGGAACGUGCCCAGUAGUGGGGGAUAGCCCGGCGAAAGCCGGAUUAAUACCGCAUACGACCUGAGGGUGAAAGCGGGGGACCGAAAGGCCUCGCGCUAUUGGAGCGGCCGAUGUCGGAUUAGCUAGUUGGUGGGGUAAAGGCUUACCAAGGCGACGAUCCGUAGCUGGUCUGAGAGGACGACCAGCCACACUGGGACUGAGACACGGCCCAGACUCCUACGGGAGGCAGCAGUGGGGAAUUUUGGACAAUGGGGGCAACCCUUAUCCAGCCAUGCCGCGUGCGGGAAGAAGGCCUUCGGGUUGUAAACCGCUUUUGUUCGGGAAGAAAUCCUCUGGGCUAAUACCCCGGGGGGAUGACGGUACCGGAAGAAUAAGCACCGGCUAACUACGUG
rnacentral:rRNA from 1 species